rnacentral:rRNA from 1 species
GAUGAACGCUGGCGGCGUGCCUAAUACAUGCAAGUCGAGCGAACGGACGAGAAGCUUGCUUCUCUGAUGUUAGCGGCGGACGGGUGAGUAACACGUGGAUAACCUACCUAUAAGACUGGGAUAACUUCGGGAAACCGGAGCUAAUACCGGAUAAUAUUUUGAACCGCAUGGUUCAAAAGUGAAAGACGGUCUUGCUGUCACUUAUAGAUGGAUCCGCGCUGCAUUAGCUAGUUGGUAAGGUAACGGCUUACCAAGGCAACGAUGCAUAGCCGACCUGAGAGGGUGAUCGGCCACACUGGAACUGAGACACGGUCCAGACUCCUACGGGAGGCAGCAGUAGGGAAUCUUCCGCAAUGGGCGAAAGCCUGACGGAGCAACGCCGCGUGAGUGAUGAAGGUCUUCGGAUCGUAAAACUCUGUUAUUAGGGAAGAACAUAUGUGUAAGUAACUGUGCACAUCUUGACGGUACCUAAUCAGAAAGCCACGGCUAACUACGUGCCAGCAGCCGCGGUAAUACGUAGGUGGCAAGCGUUAUCCGGAAUUAUUGGGCGUAAAGCGCGCGUAGGCGGUUUUUUAAGUCUGAUGUGAAAGCCCACGGCUCAACCGUGGAGGGUCAUUGGAAACUGGAAAACUUGAGUGCAGAAGAGGAAAGUGGAAUUCCAUGUGUAGCGGUGAAAUGCGCAGAGAUAUGGAGGAACACCAGUGGCGAAGGCGACUUUCUGGUCUGUAACUGACGCUGAUGUGCGAAAGCGUGGGGAUCAAACAGGAUUAGAUACCCUGGUAGUCCACGCCGUAAACGAUGAGUGCUAAGUGUUAGGGGGUUUCCGCCCCUUAGUGCUGCAGCUAACGCAUUAAGCACUCCGCCUGGGGAGUACGACCGCAAGGUUGAAACUCAAAGGAAUUGACGGGGACCCGCACAAGCGGUGGAGCAUGUGGUUUAAUUCGAAGCAACGCGAAGAACCUUACCAAAUCUUGACAUCCUUUGACAACUCUAGAGAUAGAGCCUUCCCCUUCGGGGGACAAAGUGACAGGUGGUGCAUGGUUGUCGUCAGCUCGUGUCGUGAGAUGUUGGGUUAAGUCCCGCAACGAGCGCAACCCUUAAGCUUAGUUGCCAUCAUUAAGUUGGGCACUCUAAGUUGACUGCCGGUGACAAACCGGAGGAAGGUGGGGAUGACGUCAAAUCAUCAUGCCCCUUAUGAUUUGGGCUACACACGUGCUACAAUGGACAAUACAAAGGGCAGCGAAACCGCGAGGUCAAGCAAAUCCCAUAAAGUUGUUCUCAGUUCGGAUUGUAGUCUGCAACUCGACUACAUGAAGCUGGAAUCGCUAGUAACCGUAGAUCAGCAUGCUACGGUGAAUACGUUCCCGGGUCU